ensembl:lncRNA
AUUCAUAAUCUGAAGUGUUUUUUUUCCAGAGCUGUAUAUUUAAGUAUGUGGAUGCUCUUGAUAUCUCAGGUUCUCCUCUGAGUGCAUUCGUCUCUCUGGGCGAGCUCCAUACUCUUCCUGUUGAGCGAGUGAGUGUGCGGAACCGUUUCCCACCCCAGGACCUCAUCCACCGGGCCUUCAGACUGGAGCAGGGCAGCAAGGUCACACCUGAGGACAUACCACACACACAAAAACACAGCAAGAUUCUUCAGAAACCUGAGGUGAAAAAUUUCUCAGCUCCCGAGUUCAGUUCGAGAGACAUGGAUGACACUGAUGGAGAGGGUCUCAGAUCCCACCUGAUGAAGCUGUGGAACACCCUGAGAAAUAAAGUGCAGGUGGAUCAGGCUCAGUACAGCACUCUCAGACACUCUAAUACACAACAGAUGGCAGACAUGAAACCCUCUAAAUCCCUUCAGUCUAAUGAUGUGGCUGAUGUUUGGGCAGCUGAGGAUGGCACCGUCGGUGAACAGCAUCUCUCAAGACGUGUCCGAAACAUUAAAGAUCGCACACCACUUCGAGAACAAGAGAGAAAAAGAACAUGAAGGGACAACAUCAGUGACUCUUACGGAGCUAAGGAGUGGAGGGUACUGAAGGAAAAGUGGAAUUUGUAGUGGAAUGUGGAAAUAUGCAAAUGUUGGAAUGUACUGUACUGUAAUCUACUGUAUAAUGUAGCCGCUUUCCCCUCAAACUGUUUCAGUAAAUGUAUAAUAAUAGCAGAGAUCUCACUCCUCCUGUGUGGUCUAUAAUUCUCCCAUAUGUUUAUAGCGGCUCCAUGAUGCUAACAAAUCAUCUACAACAUCCGAUAAAUCAGGAAAUUGUAAUAUUAAGCCCACUUGCACACAAAGAGCCUAUCAGUGGGCAAUAUGGGUGGGAUUUCCAUCCCGAUUGGUCUGAUUAUGUGUUCAUUACACCUAUCAGAUUAAGAUACGAUUGAUGUUAUAUUACUGACAGAUUUUAUUCCAAAUUUUUAAAAAAGAGUGUAAUUUAUAGCACAUGUAUUUGCAGAAAAUAAGAAAUGGUCAAAAUAACAAACAAACAGCUGUAAUUUUAGAACUCAAAUAAUGCAAAGAAAACAAGUCACAGCUUUCAUGUGUCUGCUUGGAAUGCUCUCCACCAGUCUUUCACACUGCUUUUGGGUGACCUUAUGCCACUCCUGGUUUUUAAAAACUCAAGCACUUCAGCUUUGUUUGAUGGCUUGUGAUCAUCUAUCUUCCUCUUGAGUACAUUCCAAUGGUUUUCAAUGGGGUUCAGGUCUGGAUAUUGGGCUGGCCACGACACUGUUUUGAUCUGGUGGUCCUUCAUCCAUACCUUCGGAUCUAGCUGUGUAGAAUUGAGCAUUGUCCUUCUGGAUAGAAAACAGAUCUCAGAGUUGGGGAACAUUGCCAGAACAUAAGGAAGCAAAUGUUUUUCCAGGAUAACCUUGUAUGCGGCUUGAUUCAUGCGUCAUUUGCAAAGACUAAUCUUUCUUAGAUCAUCACCGAUCCUCCACCAAAUUUUGCAGUGCAUGCAAGACACUGAAGCUUGUACGCCCUCCAGGUCUCUGUCUAACCAUUAGACGACCAGAAAUUUAGACCCAUUAGAGAAGAUGAUCCUACUUCAGUCUUCUAUGUUCCAAUUCUUAUGGUAUUUGGCAAAGUUUAGCCUGGCUCUUUUUUGCUUCUCAUUGAUGAAGAGCUUUUUUUAGCUUUACAUGACAUGAGCCCUGUCUUUAGGAGCCUGUUUUCAACUGUUCUUUCCAUGCACUUCGCCAUUUGCCAUUCUUUUUGUAGGUCACUUGAUGUAUCCAGACCUGAAGCCAAAAGCAGAGUGUAAGACUGGUGGAGAGCAUUCCAAGAUGCCUGAAUGCUGUUAUUAAAGAUCGUUAAACAUUAAAAUGUUUUAAAUUAAUCUUUUCUUUACAUUAUUUGAGGUCUGAAAUUAGUUUUUGCAUGGUGGGAUGUCUUGAAUAAAAUGUUAUCAGUAUGGAUGGAAUGGAAAGAA